rnacentral:rRNA from 1 species
GAAAAAGUAAAUAUUAUUGGUUUAGUAGUUAGUAUUAAUUUUGUUUAUUAAAAUUAUAAUUUUUAGGUGAAAUUUUAAUUUUUUAAUAUUUAUAUUAAAUGAGGCUAUGGAAUUUACUUUAAAGACGAGGAUUAGAUACCCUUUUAUUGUGAAUGUGAAUUUUUAAACCAGGGUAGUAAUAGUUAAGUUCUUGAAACCCAAAGAAUUUGGCGGUAUUUUAGUCCUUUCAGAGGAAUCUGUCCCAUAAUCGACAACCCCCGAGAUAAUUUACUUAUUCUUGUAUUCCAGUUUGUAUACCUCCGUCAUAAGAAGAUCUUUUUAGAGAUUAAAUUUUCUNAAUAUACUAAAUAUAGGAUGUCAGGUCAAGGUGCAAUUUAUGAAUAAGUGGAGAUGGGUUACAAUAAAUUUAUUUAAAUGGAUUAAAUUGAUUAAUUUUUUAUGAAGGUGGAUUUGAUAGUAAUUUUAAGUAUUUAUUAUUAUGAUUGUGGCUCUAAAAUAUGCCACACAUCGCCCGUCGCUCUCAUUUCUAAAAUGAGAUAAGUCGUAACAUAGUAGGUGUAUCGGAAGAUGUACCUAGUAAGU